UACGAAGGGUGCAAGCGUUAAUCGGAAUUACAGGGCGUAAAGCGCGCGUAGGUGGUUCAGUAAGUUGGAAGUGAAAUCCCCGGGCUCAACCUGGGAACUGCUUUCAAAACUGCUGAGCUAGAGUACGGUAGAGGGUGGUGGAAUUUCCUGUGUAGCGGUGAAAUGCGUAGAUAUAGGAAGGAACACCAGUGGCGAAGGCGACCACCUGGACUGAUACUGACACUGAGGUGCGAAAGCGUGGGGAGCAAACAGG
rnacentral:rRNA from 1 species